rnacentral:rRNA from 1 species
UACGAAGGGGGCUAGCGUUGCUCGGAAUCACUGGGCGUAAAGCGCACGUAGGCGGAUCUUUUAGGUCAGGGGUGAAAUCCUGGAGCUCAACUCCAGAACUGCCUUUGAUACUGGGGAUCUCGAGUCCGGAAGAGGUGAGUGGAACUCCGAGUGUAGAGGUGAAAUUCGUAGAUAUUCGGAAGAACACCAGUGGCGAAGGCGGCUCACUGGUCCGGUACUGACGCUGAGGUGCGAA